rnacentral:rRNA from 1 species
UACGGAGGGUGCAAGCGUUAUCCGGAUUCACUGGGUUUAAAGGGUGCGUAGGCGGGCAGGUAAGUCAGUGGUGAAAUCUCCGGGCUUAACCCGGAACUGCCGUUGAUACUAUCUGUCUUGAAUAUUGGUGGAGGUAAGGCGGAAUAUGUCAUGUAGGCGGUGAAAUGCUUAGAUAUGACAUAGAACACCAAUUGCGAAGGCAGC